rnacentral:rRNA from 1 species
GAUGAACGCUAGCUACAGGCUUAACACAUGCAAGUCGAGGGACCGGCGCGCGGGUGAGUAACACGUAUCCAACCUGCCCUUUACUCGGGGAUAGCCUUUCGAAGGAAAGAUUAAUACCCGAUAUAAAGGAUGGGGAUGCGUUGCAUUAGGUUGUUGGUGAGGUAACGGCUCACCAAGCCGUCGAUGGGUAGGGGUUCUGAGAGGAAGGUCACCGACAGUGGAACUGCGGCCCGGUGCACACGCCUACGGGGGGCAGCAGUAAGGAAUAUUAGUGAAUGGGCGCUAGCCUGAACCAGCCAAGUAGCGUGAAGGAUGAAGGCUUAUGGGUCGUAAACUUCUUUUAUAUAAGAAUAUGUAUUAUAUGAAGAAGGAUCGGCUAACUCCGUGCCAGCAGCCGCGGUAAUAC